CGGGAGCCCAGCUUUCUCCGGGGUCCGUAGCGCGCGACAGUUGGAGUCCCGGGAACCGAGAUGUCCGGCUCCGGGUUGGAUGAGGUUUUCCUCAAGAGCAACGGAGAAACUGGAGCACUGCGGAGGUCUGAAACGGUGACACGUUUGAUGGUUUUGCCAUCCUGCUACAUGUUCAGGGCUGCAGCAGAGGAGAGGAGAGGAGAUGGGGGCUGCAGCCAAUUCCAGCUGUCACCGGGCGAGAGGCGAGGUGCAACGUGGAAAGGUCGUUAGUCCUUCACAGAGACGUGCAAGGCUAUAAAUCAUGCACGCUCCCACUCAUUUCCAAGGUCAAUUUGAAACCACAAACAUUCAGACAUGAAUGUUUUUGCCUACAGGAGGAAAGACAAACUCCCCACAGACGGACCUGAACAGCUAACAUUAAAAAUUUAAAGCCUU